AGUCCAGCUUGUCUGUGCAAGGAGGGAAAGAGCCACACGGUCCUGGAAAGCCUUCAGAGCUCCAGUGAAGAACCCAGGAGCUACAUACAGAUUAAGAUCAUGAAAGAACAUGUCUGUAUACUAUAACAUUAUAGACGGACAAAUGUCAUAUCUGUGUUACGAAGUCACACUGGAUCAGAGAGAGCUGAGCUGAUGGUCAGCAUCUGAAGUGGGUAGCUCCAUGGUUACUCUUUCUACCAACCUCACCAGUCAGACAAGAAAAGAUUCAUAAAGAAAUGAUGACAGAUGAAGGAGAUUGUGAUUGCGGGAUUACAGGUUAUAGAUACAUCUGUGCUGCAUCAGCUGUCUUUCGACUCCAUUUU